CAUAGUGGCUAAACCUCCUUAGCAGGUCCAGUCUCGAUAGAAGCUAAGCAGGGUUGGGCCUAGUUAGUUUUACGAUGGAAGACCGUUGGGAAUACCAGGUGCCAUAGGGA
rnacentral:rRNA from 1 species